CUCAAUUUCGCUGUGAACCUAAAAUUGCUCUAGAAACAAAGUUUAUUAAUUAUUUUUAAAAGGAGGGAGGAAGGCACUGAGCAUUCUUCAUUCUGACAAAAGGUAAAACGAUAAGGAAUACCAGGCUGCAUUCUUUCGCCGCCCGACCGCCAAACAGAAAGAAAUCACAC
rfam:Myotis brandtii contig249161, whole genome shotgun sequence.